rnacentral:rRNA from 1 species
AUGAACGUUGGCGGCGUGGAUUAGGCAUGCGAGUCGAGCGAGAACCCGCAAGGGGGACAGCGGCAAAAGGGGUAGUAAGGCGUAGGUAACGUACCCUCGGGACGGGGAUAGCCACGGGAAACUGUGGGUAAUACCCGAUGACCUCAUCGGACGUGACUGUCUGGUGAGCAAAGGUGAGAUUCCACCCGGGGAGCGGCUUACGUGGUAUUAGCUAGUUGGUGAGGUAACGGCUCACCAAGGCGAAGAUGCCUAGGGGGUGUGAGAGCACGACCCCCACCAUUGGGACUGAGACACUGCCCAGACACCUACGGGUGGCUGCAGUCGAGAAUCUUCGGCAAUGGGCGAAAGCCUGACCGAGCGACGCCGCGUGCGGGAUGAAGGCCUUCGGGUUGUAAACCGCUGUCAGAGGGGAUGAACUGCGGAGAGGUACUCCUCUCCGUUUGACAGAGCCUCAGAGGAAGCACGGGCUAAGUAUGU